rnacentral:sRNA from 1 species
GUCUGCGGAUGAACGGCAACACUAGGAAGUUUCUAGUUUCUGAACCAGUGCUCCCGUUGAUUUGUUGGCAGCAUCCCGCGACCACAUUUGUUAGUUACAUUGAAGAGGUUACAAGUUGUGAAUACUGGUGUUGUUAAGUGGUUCAACGAGAGCAAGGGUUUUGGUUUCAUCACCCCCGAUGAUGGCGGCAAGGACGUGUUUGUGCACUUCUCCGCGAUCAGCGGUUCGGGUUUCAAGACCCUGGCCGAAGGCCAGAAGGUCUCCUUCGAAAUCCAGGAAACCGCCAAGGGCCUGGCCGCCGGUGAAGUGACCGCCCUCUAAGGCGCACUUCCCAAGGCUGGCGACCCUUGAGGGUCGUCCGAGAAAGGCCGCCUUCGGGCGGCCUUUUUUGU